UGCAAGUCGAGUGCGCAGUCUCCUGUAGCAAUACAGGGGAUGGGCGCACGGCGCACGGGUGCGUAACACGUGGGUAACCUGCCCUCUGAUGGGGGAUAACCCCGCGAAAGCGGGGCUAAUACCGCAUGACAUUCCGAGAAUCUCGGUUCUUGGAUUCAAAGCCCGCAAGGGCGUCGGAGGAGGGGCCCGCGCCCGAUUAGCUUGUUGGUGAGGUAACGGCUCACCAAGGCUGUGAUCGGUAGCCGGUCUGAGAGGACGACCGGCCACACUGGAACUGAGACACGGUCCAGACUCCUACGGGAGGCAGCAGUGGGGAAUCUUGCGCAAUGGGCGAAAGCCUGACGCAGCGACGCCGCGUGGGGGAUGAAGCCCUUCGGGGUGUAAACCCCUUUCGACCCGGACGAAUGGCCCGCAAGGGAGUUGACGGUACGGGUAGAAGAAGCCCCGGCUAACUACGUGCCAGCAGCCGCGGUAAAACGUAGGGCGCCAGCGUUGCUCGGAAUUACUGGGCGUAAAGGGUCCGUAGGCGGUGUGGCAAGUCGGGAGUGAAAUCUCAUGGCUUAACUGUGAGACUGCUUCCGAAACUGCUGUGCUCGAGUGCGGGAGAGGCGAGUGGAAUUGCCGGUGUAGCGGUGAAAUGCGUAGAUAUCGGCAGGAACACCCGUGGCGAAGGCGGCUCGCUGGACCGCAACUGACGCUGAGGGACGAAAGCUAGGGGAGCAAACAGGAUUAGAUACCCUGUAGUCCUAGCCCUAAACCAUCAGGACUUGGCGUGCAUCCCGUUCGGGGUGCGUGCCGGAGCUAACGCGUUAAGUCCUGCGCCUGGGGAGUACGGUCGCAAGGCUGAAACUCAAAGGAAUUGACGGGGGCCCGCACAAGC
rnacentral:rRNA from 1 species